rnacentral:tRNA from 1 species
GUGCUUGUGGUGCAGUGGUCAUCAUAUUCGCUUUACACGCGAAAGGUCCCAGGUUCAAUCACUGGCAGGCACA